rnacentral:rRNA from 1 species
CACUCCUGCGGGAGGCAGCAGUGGGGAAUAUUGGACAAUGGGCGCAAGCCUGAUCCAGCCAUGCCGCGUGAGUGAUGAAGGCCCUAGGGUUGUAAAGCUCUUUCACCGGUGAAGAUAAUGACGGUAACCGGAGAAGAAGCCCCGGCUAACUUCGUGCCAGCAGCCGCGGUAAUACGAAGGGGGCUAGCGUUGUUCGGAUUUACUGGGCGUAAAGCGCACGUAGGCGGACUAUUAAGUCAGGGGUGAAAUCCCGGGGCUCAACCCCGGAACUGCCUUUGAUACUGGUAGUCUUGAGUUCGAGAGAGGUGAGUGGAAUUCCGAGUGUAGAGGUGAAAUUCGUAGAUAUUCGGAGGAACACCAGUGGCGAAGGCGGCUCACUGGCUCGAUACUGACGCUGAGGUGCGAAAGCGUGGGGAGCAAACAGGAUUAGAAACCCGUGUAGUCCC